GAGUUUGAUCAUGGCUCAGGAUGAACGCUGGCGGCGUGCUUAACACAUGCAAGUCGAACGAACCUUCGGGUUAGUGGCGGACGGGUGAGUAACGCGUGAGAAUCUGCCCUCAGGAGGGGGAUAACAGCUGGAAACGGCUGCUAAUACCCCAUAUGCCGCGAGGUGAAAUGAAUUUCGCCUGAGGAUGAGCUCGCGUCUGAUUAGCUAGUUGGUGUAGGUAAUGGCUCACCAAGGCAUCGAUCAGUAGCUGGUCUGAGAGGAUGAUCAGCCACACUGGGACUGAGACACGGCCCAGACUCCUACGGGAGGCAGCAGUGGGGAAUUUUCCGCAAUGGGCGAAAGCCUGACGGAGCAACGCCGCGUGAGGGAUGAAGGCCUCUGGGCUGUAAACCUCUUUUAUCAAGGAAGAAGAUCUGACGGUACUUGAUGAAUAGGCCACGGCUAAUUCCGUGCCAGCAGCCGCGGUAAUACGGGAGUGGCAAGCGUUAUCCGGAAUUAUUGGGCGUAAAGCGUCCGCAGGCGGCCCUUCAAGUCUGCUGUUAAAAAGUGGAGCUUAACUCCAUCAUGGCAGUGGAAACUGAGGGGCUUGAGUGUGGCAGGGGCAGAGGGAAUUCCCGGUGUAGCGGUGAAAUGCGUAGAUAUCGGGAAGAACACCAGUGGCGAAGGCGCUCUGCUGGGCCAUCACUGACGCUCAUGGACGAAAGCCGGGGGAGCGAAAGGGAUUAGAUACCCCUGUAGUCCUGGCCGUAAACGACGAACACUAGGUGUCGGGGGAAUCGACCCCCUCGGUGUCGUAGCCAACGCGUUAAGUGUUCCGCCUGGGGAGUACGCACGCAAGUGUGAAACUCAAAGGAAUUGACGGGGGCCCGCACAAGCGGUGGAGUAUGUGGUUUAAUUCGAUGCAACGCGAAGAACCUUACCAGGGUUUGACAUCCUGCGAAUCUUUUGGAAACGAGAGAGUGCCUUCGGGAGCGCAGUGACAGGUGGUGCAUGGCUGUCGUCAGCUCGUGUCGUGAGAUGUUGGGUUAAGUCCCGCAACGAGCGCAACCCACGUCUUUAGUUGCCAGCAUUUAGUUGGGCACUCUAGAGAGACCGCCGGUGAUAAACCGGAGGAAGGUGUGGAUGACGUCAAGUCAUCAUGCCCCUUACAUCCUGGGCUACACACGUACUACAAUGCUACGGACAAAGGGCAGCAAGUUCGCGAGGACAAGCAAAUCCCAUAAACCGUGGCUCAGUUCAGAUCGUAGGCUGCAACUCGCCUACGUGAAGGAGGAAUCGCUAGUAAUCGCAGGUCAGCAUACUGCGGUGAAUACGUUCCCGGGCCUUGUACACACCGCCCGUCACACCAUGGAAGUUGGCCACGCCCGAAGCCGUUACUCCAACCCUUGUGGAGGAGGACGUCGAAGGUGGGGCUGAUGACUGGGGUGAAGUCGUAACAAGGUAACC
rnacentral:rRNA from 1 species